GACGGAGGAUGCAAGUGUUAUCCGGAAUCACUGGGCGUAAAGCGUCUGUAGGUGGUUCGAAAAGUCCACUGUUAAAAAUUGGGGCUUAACCUCAAAGAUGCCGUGGAAACUUUCAAACUAGAGUAUGGUAGGGGUAGAGGGAAUUUCCAGUGGAGCGGUGAAAUGCGUAGAUAUUGGAAAGACCACCGAUGGCGAAGGCACUCUACUGGGCCAUUACUGACACUGAGAGACGAAAGCUAGGGGAGCAAAUGGG
rnacentral:rRNA from 1 species